UAGUAUUCUAUGCGGCCCACGGAAGAAACCACGUGAGCCUCACCUUGAGCCAUUACCCCCUUAUUUGGGAGAGGGACCAAUGUGGUCGCUCAACGCGCCAUAGAGAAGAGAAGAAUAUCCGGAGGCUGCGCACACAGCUGGCCUAAUUGAAUGCCAUACUGCGCUGCUGGUAAGCGACGCUUUGCACUUGUGCUGUGUCCUGCGUAGGUUUAUGCUCCAUUUGACACACGGAUACGUGUCACAUGUUUUCUACGCGAUAUAUGCUGCGAUACGGAGAAGCGUAUCCAAAAAGCACAAGCAACACCAACCUGAAACCUUAUUAACCUCUUAUUAACUCCUGAUCUGUAAUUCCUUGGGUAACCGUCGCAGGCGUUAUGGCGAGGACGACAACAUAAUAUUUCCAUAUUUUCCACUCUAGGUGGCUGAUCCCAGGGUGAAUCGAUACUGCGGCGUUAAUUGUGUGAGGGACGGCAAUGAAACAAUUCCGUUCCUUGGAUUAUGCAAUGAGCAGUCGCACAGCGCAACAAAAAUUUGCUUACCAGACGCCUACAAGCUGUGCUUCGACGGACGUUGUGGGAAGAAGUACAGCGAGCUACGGGAACUUUCACGACGCAACUGGAAUGUCCCGGACACCCACUUCAAGGACGCCGAAAUUUGUAGUGGCAAAGGCUAACGAGAAAAAGCAGAGUGCUUGUAGCGUCGACGUGAAAUUUUGUCGUCAUUACAGCGAUGCGUAUUGAUAUGGAGCCUGAAGCAACAUGUGUGAACAGAAGCACAGACCUUGUGUUUGCAUUUGUAUUUGUAUUUGCGUUUGUAUUUCACGAGAUAUAUAGUUGAUGUAUUCGAUGCAGACAU